AGCAGCCGCGGUAAUUCCAGCUCCAAUAGCGUAUAUUAAAGUUGUUGCAGUUAAAAAGCUCGUAGUUGAAUUUCGGGGUUCUACCGUUGGUCGGGCUUUGUCUGUACUGGCGUGUAGAAUUUCUACCUUCUGGGGAACCAUCAUGUUAUUAAUUUAACGUGGUGGGAAACCAGGACCUUUACCUUGAAAAAAUUAGAGUGUUCAAAGCAGGCUUACGUCUGAAUACAUUAGCAUGGGAUAAUAAAAUAGGUCGGUGGUCCUGUUUUGUUGGUUUCUGAAUCACCGUAAUGAUUAAUAGGGAUAGUUGGGGGCAUUAGUAUUCAAUUGUCAGAGGUGAAAUUCUUGGAUUUAU
rnacentral:rRNA from 1 species